CUGAUUCAACAUUAAGAAAACACAUAUACUCAAAUUUUAAUGAUGCAGAGAAUAUUAGCAUGGCCCCUGCAUGAGGAUGACAUGCAAAUUCAUGGAGUGUUUCAUAUUUUU
rfam:Ictidomys tridecemlineatus contig053773, whole genome shotgun sequence.